AUGAAGGAGACUAUGGAGCUGAUCAAGAUGACCAUGGUCUUGUCUGAUGUUCCUCUGGAAGAAACUGAUAUUUUGGGAAGCGAGGCUGCCAAGAGCAACCUAGAGCUGGUGUUACUAACAACACCAACUACACCAACAGAAAGAAUGGAGAGAAUUACAAAGGUUUCAGAAGGAUUCGUUUAUCUUGUAAGCACUACCGGAGUUACUGGCACACGUGCAAACGUAGGUUUCAAGGUGGAAGCUCUUCUCAAGGAAAUCAAGCAGGUCACAGAUAAAGCUGUUGCUGUUGGUUUUGGAGUGUCGACUCCAGAGCAGGUGAAGCAGCUUGUUGCUUCAAGAGCGAAUCUGGCUCUCCUGAAGAAGGAUUAA
rnacentral:rRNA from 1 species